rnacentral:rRNA from 1 species
AACGAACGCUGGCGGCAGGCCUAACACAUGCAAGUCGAGCGGGGGAGCAAUCCCUAGCGGCGGACGGGUUAGUAACGCGUGGGAACAUACCCUUUGGUACGGAAUAGCCUCGGGAAACUGAGAGUAAUACCGUAUGUGCCCUUCGGGGGAAAGAUUUAUCGCCAAAGGAUUGGCCCGCGUUGGAUUAGGUAGUUGGUGGGGUAAUGGCCUACCAAGCCUACGAUCCAUAGCUGGUUUGAGAGGAUGAUCAGCAACACUGGGACUGAGACACGGCCCAGACUCCUACGGGAGGCAGCAGUGGGGAAUCUUAGACAAUGGGCGCAAGCCUGAUCUAGCCAUGCCGCGUGAGCGAUGAAGGCCUUAGGGUUGUAAAGCUCUUUCAGAUGGGAAGAUAAUGACGGUACCAAUCAGAAGAAGACCCCGGCU